rnacentral:rRNA from 1 species
UCGAGGGGCAGCACGAUGUAGCAUACAUUGGUGGCGACCGGCGCACGGGUGAGUAACGCGUAUGCAACCUACCUAUCAGAGGGGAAUAACCCGGCGAAAGUCGGACUAAUACCGCAUAAAACAGGGGUUCCACAUGGAAAUAUUUGUUAAAGAAUUAUCGCUGAUAGAUGGGCAUGCGUUCCAUUAGAUAGUUGGUGAGGUAACGGCUCACCAAGUCCACGAUGGAUAGGGGUUCUGAGAGGAAGGUCCCCCACACUGGUACUGAGACACGGACCAGACUCCUACGGGAGGCAGCAGUGAGGAAUAUUGGUCAAUGGGCGAGAGCCUGAACCAGCCAAGUCGCGUGAAGGAUGAAGGAUCUAUGGUUUGUAAACUUCUUUUAUAUGGGAAUAAAGUGAGGAACGUGUUCCUUUUUGUAUGUACCAUAUGAAUAAGCAUCGGCUAACUCCGUGCCAGCAGCCGCGGUAAUACGGAGGAUGCGAGCGUUAUCCGGAUUUAUUGGGUUUAAAGGGUGCGUAGGUGGUUAAUUAAGUCAGCGGUGAAAGUUUGUGGCUCAACCAUAAAAUUGCCGUUGAAACUGGUUGACUUGAGUAUAUUUGAGGUAGGCGGAAUGCGUGGUGUAGCGGUGAAAUGCAUAGAUAUCACGCAGAACUCCGAUUGCGAAGGCAGCUUACUAAACUAUAACUGACACUGAAGCACGAAAGCGUGGGGAUCAA